CCUACGCGCUGCAGCAGUGGGGAAUAUUGGACAAUGGGCGAAAGCCUGAUCCAGCCAUGCCGCGUGUGUGAAGAAGGCCUUCGGGUUGUAAAGCACUUUCAGUGGGGAAGAAAGCCUUGGGGCUAAUACCCUCGAGGAAGGACAUCACCCACAGAAGAAGCACCGGCUAACUCCGUGCCAGCAGCCGCGGUAAUACGGAGGGUGCGAGCGUUAGUCGGAAUUACUGGGCGUAAAGCGCGCGUAGGCGGUCUGAUAAGCCGGUUGUGAAAGCCCCGGGCUCAACCUGGGAACGGCAUCCGGAACUGUCAGGCUAGAGGGCAGGAGAGGAAGGUAGAAUUCCCGGUGUAGCGGUGAAAUGCGUAGAGAUCGGGAGGAAUACCAGUGGCGAAGGCGGCCUUCUGGACUGACACUGACGCUGAGGUGCGAAAGCGUGGGUAGCAAACAGGAUUAGAUACCCGGGUAGUC
rnacentral:rRNA from 1 species